GGGGUUGUAGCUCAUCAGUAGAGCGCUUGCCUAGCAAGUGUGAGGCCCUGGGUUCGAUCCUCAGCACCA
rnacentral:tRNA from 1 species